rnacentral:rRNA from 1 species
AGGACGAACGCUGGCGGCGUGCCUAACACAUGCAAGUCGAACGGGGCCAGGGGCAACUCUGGUUCAGUGGCGGACGGGUGCGUAACACGUGAGGAACAUGACUUUCGGCGGGGGAUAGCCGGCCCAACGGCCGGGUAAUACCGCGUACGACCUCUCGGGGACAUCCCCGGUUGGUGAAAGCAGCAAUGCACCGAAAGAGUGCCUCGCGGCCUAUCAGCUAGUUGGUGGGGUAACGCUCACCAAGGCGACGACGGGUAGC